UACGUAGGGGGCAAGCGUUGUCCGGAAUCAUUGGGCGUAAAGCGCGUGUAGGCGGUUCGAUAAGUCUGCUGUGAAAGUCCAGGGCUCAACCCUGGGAUGCCGGUGGAUACUGUCAGACUAGAGUACGGAAGAGGCGAGUGGAAUUCCCGGUGUAGCGGUGAAAUGCGCAGAUAUCGGGAGGAACACCAAUUGCGAAGGCAGCUCGCUGGGACGUCACUGACGCUGAGACGCGAAAGCGUGGGGAGCAAACAGG
rnacentral:rRNA from 1 species